rnacentral:rRNA from 1 species
AGAGAGUGCAAGCGUUAAUCGGAAUUACUGGGCGUAAAGCGCACGUAGGUGGAUACUUAAGUUGGAUGUGAAAGCCCUAGGCUUAACCUAGGAAUUGCACUCAAUACUGGGUAUCUAGAGUAUGGUAGAGGGAAGUGGAAUUUCCGGCGUAGCGGUGAAAUGCGUAGAUAUCGGAAGGAACACCAGUGGCGAAGGCGACUUCCUGGACCAAUACUGACACUGAGGUGCGAAAGCGUGGGGGAGCAAACAGGAUUAGAGACCCUGGUAGUCCACGCUGUCAACGAUGAGAACUAGACGUUGGGGGGGUUAACCUCUUAGUGUCGAAGCUAACGCGUUAAGUUCUCCGCCUGGGGAGUACGGCCGCAAGGCUA